AUUGAACGCUGGCGGCAUGCCUUACACAUGCAAGUCGAACGGUAACAGGUCUUUCGGGAUGCUGACGAGUGGCGAACGGGUGAGUAAUACAUCGGAACGUGCCUAGUAGUGGGGGAUAACUACUCGAAAGAGUGGCUAAUACCGCAUGAGAUCUAUGGAUGAAAGCAGGGGACCUUUGGGCCUUGUGCUACUAGAGCGGCCGAUGGCAGAUUAGGUAGUUGGUGGGAUAAAAGCUUACCAAGCCUACGAUCUGUAGCUGGUCUGAGAGGACGAUCAGCCACACUGGGACUGAGACACGGCCCAGACUCCUACGGGAGGCAGCAGUGGGGAAUUUUGGACAAUGGGCGCAAGCCUGAUCCAGCAAUGCCGCGUGCAGGAUGAAGGCCUUCGGGUUGUAAACUGCUUUUGUACGGAACGAAAAGUAUUGGGUUAAUACCCUGGGAUCAUGACGGUACCGGAAGAAUAAGCACCGGCUAACUACGUG
rnacentral:rRNA from 1 species